UCUGGUUUUCCUAUUCUCCCUCCAGCCGGAUUCACCAUGACAACUGAAACGGGUGCAGAUUCUGAGGCCAAGCAGCCGCAGGACACCAACGAGACAGAGAAGGGGAAAACUAAAGCAGCCGCCGACCCCGCUUCACCUCUGAAGCAGCCGGAGCAGCUUCCAGCCGCUGUGGGACACAGCACCCCUGCCAGGAAAGAACAGGAGCCGCAGGACGACGACCAGGAAUCCCACAGGUCGUCCAUCAGUCAUCUGUCCAAGUCUCCUUUAAGAGGAGUGAAGAAGGUGAAGAUCAUGCAGUGUAAAGUCACCCUGCUGGACGGCUCCGACUACACACUCGAUGUGGAGAAACGAGCCAAGGGACAAGUGCUCUUUGAUAAAGUGUGUGAUCACCUCAACCUACUGGAGAAAGACUACUUUGGAAUCACAUACAAAGAUGUCGAUAACCAGAAGAACUGGCUGGACCCUUCCAAGGAGCUGAAGAAGCAGAUUAGGACUGGUCCCUGGAACUUUGCAUUCAACGUAAAGUUUUACCCUCCAGACCCCACCCAGCUGGCCGAGGAUAUCACAAGGUACUACCUGUGCCUGCAGCUCAGAGAUGAUGUGGUGUCUGGUCGCCUGCCCUGCUCCUUUGCCACUCACACAGUGCUGGGCUCCUACACAGUGCAGUCUGAACUGGGAGACUAUGACCCUGAAGAACUGGCCAGCGAUUACAUCAGCGAACUGCGCUUUGCACCCAACCAAACCAAAGAGCUGGAGGAGAAGGUCAUGGAACUCCACAAGACCUACAAGGGGAUGACACCAGCUGAAGCAGAGAUGCACUUCCUGGAAAAUGCUAAGAAGCUAUCCAUGUACGGUGUGGACCUCCACCACGCCAAGGACUCUGAAGGUGUGGAGAUCAUGCUGGGGGUUUGUGCAAGUGGCCUCCUCAUCUACAGGGACAGGCUGCGCAUCAACAGGUUCGCCUGGCCCAAAAUCCUCAAGAUCUCCUACAAGAGGAACAAUUUCUACAUCAAAAUCCGGCCUGGCGAGUUUGAGCAGUUUGAAAGCACUAUCGGUUUCAAACUGCCAAAUCACCGCGCUGCCAAACGGCUGUGGAAGGUCUGCGUUGAACACCACACCUUUUUCAGGCUCGUGUCCCCUGAGGCUCCUCCAAAGAAGUUCCUGACCCUCGGUUCCAAGUUCCGCUACAGCGGCAGAACGCAGGCUCAGACCCGCCGGGCCAGCUCUCAAAUCAUCAGACCCGCUCCACUCUUUGAACGCUCCUCCAGCAAACGCUACAACAUGUCCCGCAGCUUAGACGGAGCUCCCAUCACAGAGAACCACGACACUCUGAUGAAGGAUAGUUCUGCAGAUGGGACGGCCAAAAUCAUCGCCAAGGGAGACAUCAUCACCACGGUAACAACGGAGAAGAAAGCAGAGGAAGAGCAAGCGGAGCAGGAGGACGCAGCAGAGACGCCAGAGCUCGCUGCCUCGACGCAGCAGAGACGCGACACAAAGUACUCCCAUCAUGCAUACACAACCGACCCCCUCCGCUCUGAGCUCUCACUCCCCUCAUCUCCCGUUUCAUUAACCAAAGUAAGGCGGCGGCGCAGGGAGAACGCUCGUAAACGCGCCUCAUCGGUCAGUCCGGCCAAGAGCAGCAACGGGUGCCACCGCCGCCAAGCCCGCGCCGACCGCAGAGCCGCCUUGUUAGAGGAGCAGGCGCUGCUACUGUCUGCCCGCAAGCAGAGGCUGGAGCAGGGCACGAGCCGCGGCGGCAUGCUCUUCUCCUUCUCCCUGCACCUGCCUGACCUGUCCUCCAUCCUGGACGAGGAUGGCUACAUCACCUUCCCCGACCUGUCAGAGAUGCGCUUCCUCCCGUGUUGUGCGCAGAAAUUUCUCCCCAUCAAGUCACCGUCACUCAUCCCCUGCUUCCUCUUCAUCUUCUUCUUCCUGCUCUCCACAUCCUUCUCCGUCCCCUACGCCCUCACUCUCUCCUUCCCCUUGGCACUGUGUCUCUGCUACCUGGAGCCUAAAGCAGCCUCCCUGACCGCCUCCAUAGCCCAGGGCUACCAUGACAGUUCAGAGGAAGAGGAGCAGACUGACAGCGAACAAACUGACUUUGCCUUUGACGGAGAGAUGACCGCCACAGAGUCGGAGGCAGAGGACGACUCUGAGAUGCAGACUCAGUAUAGUUUCAUAAGACGAGUAACAGGGGAGAACGUGUUUGUCAGACAUAGUAAUCUGAUGUUAGAGGACACCGAGCCUCCAGUGGGGGUCGCCAAGCAUCAAACCAACAUCAGUGAACUGAAGCGCUCCUUCCUUGAGACGGGCGACAGCAAGCCGGGCCUGACAGAGUGGGAGAAGAGGCUCUCCUCGUCACCCGCCCACUCGCCACGAGCAGACGAAGCGCCAAUGAUAGAACCUCUGGAGCCGCAGGACACUGAAGACGAGGAGCCUGCAGGAGACGAGAGGAAACAGGAGGAGGAGCCCAAAGCCACUGAGGCCACAGGAUAUCUGGUGAAGUAUAUGGCGGAUAGUGUUGUAACGGAAGGUGCAACCUCCUCUGGGCCUCACGGGAUUAGUCUAUCAACCACUAUGGAUGAUGACGUCUUCAUCGAUGGGACCCUCAGGGAGGCGGAAGAGAAGACGCCCGACUCCCAGGAUGAGGUGUCUGAGAGGUCGAUGGUGAAGAUCAGCCCCGGAGCCGUCAGGCAGGAAGUGUCCCAGGCAAUCACUGACAAGAAAGGGACUCUGAUUAUCCUGAAAGACGACACGGAGGGCAAAAACACGGCUGUCCCUGGAGAGGACACAGAAGACACCGGUUUACUGUCUGCACCUAAAGACAAAGAAACUGUUCAAGAUGACAUUGCUGUUGUCGUCAAAGCCCAAAUGACAAAUGAAGUCGAGACUCCAAGUCUGAAGAUUGAUAUGAAACCUGAUGACAUGACUCCGUUUAAAGGUAUGGACUCGCCCAAAAAGGCCAUGGCGUCCUGGAUAUCGCAGGAGGUGAAGGUCGAGGCAUCUGAGGUCACCUGUGUGUCUGCAAAGGAAGUCAGAGAGAUGAAGACGUGCGACGGCCUGCAGCACAAAGCCCAAAUAUUCACCUUUGAAGAAAUGGCCCAUAGCAAACAGUCAAAGUCCGACCCGACUCAGAACUCACUUUUUGAAUCUUCAGCUGCGUCUUUAGCCGUGUCUACGCUGGGAUGGGUCCCCUCCUCCCAAAAGACGUCGGCAGAGUCAGAGCAGAAGGAGACGGAGGCGGCGCCCGCCGAGUCAGCAGAGCCAGCGGGUGAACUCAGUGAGGGAGGAACCAAAGAGAUACCUGUGGUUCACACCGAGACCAAAACCAUCACCUAUGAGGCUGCAGAGGUUGACAGUAAUGGUGACGCAGACCCCGGCGUGCUGCUGAGCGCUCAGACCAUCACGUCAGAAACCACCAGCACCACGACAACCACUCACAUCACAAAGAUGGUGAAAGGAGGAAUAUCAGAGACGAGAAUUGAGAAGAGGAUUGUGAUCACGGGAGACGCAGACAUCGACCACGAUCAGGCUCUGGCUCAGGCCAUAAAGGAGGCUAAAGAACAGCAUCCUGACAUGUCAGUGACCAAAGUAGUGGUACAUAAAGAGACAGAGAUCACGCCAGAGGAGGGGGAGGACUGACCCAGGUGUGGAGCUGCAUGACGGAGCCUCUCGUCGUCAUUGCACCACAGCAGGAGUAGCACUGCAGAGUGGCUCUUUCCGGGUUCAGCCUCCCACUACUCCGACAUCCCAGAUCUCCUCACAUCACACCAGGACUCUCAGAAGACUAGAAAAGCCUCCUCACUCUCCUAAUGCUGCAGCUCGCCGCCGGUCGCAACCAUCACCUGCAAUAUAAACCAGUGCAUUUAGUGCAUGAGAAGGACGCAACGUCGCAUUAAUCCGACCGAAAAUAGUACGAUUUUAAAAGAAAUGGUCCUUGAACCGCCUGCACGCUGAAAUCCCUGUGUGCAGCAUUGCUUUCACUGCCUUAUGACUCUGAAGCAUUUUUAUGAUUACUGAGAAUAAUUAUUGUAGCAAACCUUUUAUUUAUGAAAUAAAAAGCCAUCAGUCCAGAAAGUUUUAAAAUGGCCAUAGGCUGUAUAUGUUAAAGAGAGCAGACACUAUGUAACCCUCGCCUCACUCACUCCACAACCACAUGACUCUCCCUCCGCGAGGUACGUCACUCACAGCCCACAACUGUACAUAUCAGAGCUUUCCUAAGAAAACAGCAACUUUUCUGUCACAGUCAUGGUUUUUUUUAACGUCUACUUGAAUUCCUUUAUUUUUAAUGAUCAUUUCAGUAUGUUAUUGUUUCUCAUCAUCUGAUUCCACCACUGAAGAUCUUGGCAAACGCUGAGGACUUGAUGUGUCUGCGCAGGCCGGGGUUGAUGAUCGGCCGCAGCAUGCGUCCACCAGGUGACUGUGUGACUGUGAGGAAAAAGGGUUCGGUCUGCCAAGCUCUGCCCAAAACCACAUGCAAAGCCAAAAAAAUAAUCUGUCAUCUACCCAAAACCACCCUCCUGAUCCUCUGUAUGCCUCCCUCGUGUUUCAUUGUAUCGUGAAUAUCGUUCAUGUACAGCCAUGUUUUCCUCAAACAUGAAAUAAAAGUGGCAAACACA